UACGUAGGGGCUAGCGUUAUCCGGAAUUACUGGGCGUAAAGGGUGCGUAGGUGGUUUCUUAAGUCAGAGGUGAAAGGCUACGGCUCAACCGUAGUAAGCCUUUGAAACUGGGAAACUCGAGUGCAGGAGAGGAGAGUGGAAUUCCUAGUGUAGCGGUGAAAUGCGUAGAUAUCAGGAAGAACACCAGUGGCGAAGGCGGCUUUCUAGGCCGUUACUGACGCUGAGGCGCGAAAGCUAGGGGAGCGAACAGGAUUAGAUACCCGCGUAGUCCCUGAGCGGGCU
rnacentral:rRNA from 1 species